GGGCCGGUAGCUCAGCCUGGGAAAACCCAAAUUCAGGUGUUUUGGGCAAUAGAGCACCUGACUUUUAAUCAGGUGGUCGCGAGUUCGAACCGCUCGGAUGAGCUGCGAUAGUCUCGUCCGGCCCA
rnacentral:tRNA from 1 species